CUCACAAAGCUGUUGUGAUG
rnacentral:miRNA from 12 species